CUCACAUAGCCAAGCUCACAAAGACUGACAGAAAGGAAGUGACUACCAGAAAUGUUUACCGUCCACUCUUGACUGGGCACGACAGACAGAUGUGAGAAAGCUGAUAUGGUCCCUGGUUCCCAUGACUGCAGCUUCCUGAAGAGCAGAGAUUUGGUAUCCUGCUCACAGCGCCAAAACUGCAGGGGCCAAGGUAAAACUUCCUCUUUACCCUCUGAAGGUUUGCUGAAAAAUCAACUAACAAUAGCAGAUUAAUUGGAGAAAAGGAAUACAAAUGUAUUAACGUGCAUAUGGGAGAGAACUGCAGAGUGAUUAUCCCUACCACGCAAUAGGGUUCUGAAGCUUACCUGUCAUCUUGAGGUUCCAGAAAGAAU